GUACCAAGCGGCCUAGGGAUUGUUGGAAUUGUGUUUGCAAUCCAGCAACGCCCGUGCACGGAAGCACGGGCGAGACGUUACCGCGCCAUGGACGGCGCGUAAAAGUCGGUUGCGUCCUACCUGUCACAACCUGUAUCACAAUUCUUACAAGCCCUUAGCCGCGUAGUAU
rfam:Human gut metagenome DNA, contig sequence: F2-W_025688.